rnacentral:misc_RNA from 1 species
AUGUUAUUUGAGAUGUAUGACACACCACCAACUAGCAGCUUGGGGUAGGUGGUUAUCCUUAGCUGAAUGGUAGUAUAACACCAGUUUCCAUAACAGCUUAAAAAUGAGCCUUUUUGAGGGAUUUUGUGGAUAUAAGCCUCCUGAAGUUUCUUGUCCCAUUCCUGCUUCCACUUUUGUUUAGGCUGUGACUGAUAUUUUGCAGCAGAGGUAGCAGAUGACUGAAUUAUUGAACAACAAUUUGGCUAAAGCUCAGAACAGAAUUAAGAAAUAGGCAGAUAAAAAGAGGGUUGAGAAGGAGUUUCCAGUGGGAGAUCGGGUUUACUUGAAAUUGCAACCCCAUAGACUUCUCUUGCAAUAAGGAAGUCUCUUAAGCUCUCAACUAGGUAUUAUGGGCCAUUUCAGAUUGUUGUAAGGGUUGAGGCUGUAGCCUACAAGCUUCUUGUUAAAGAUCAUAUAUGAAUUAAUCUCAAAAAUAGAGAUUAAAGUAGAAUUAUAGAAGAUUGGGUGAGAAGAGAAUAGAGAUUGGAUGAGAAGAGAGUAGAAAAAUAUUGAAGAAGAGAGAAAA